GGAAGGGCAUCCACCAGCAGGAAAUGGUGGGGCAAUUUUUGAUUGCCAACUGGGGUUCGAAUCCCCAGCCUUCCA
rnacentral:tRNA from 1 species